UACACUCCUGCGGGAGGCAGCAGUGGGGAAUUUUGGACAAUGGGCGAAAGCCUGAUCCAGCAAUGCCGCGUGAGUGAAGAAGGCCUUCGGGUUGUAAAGCUCUUUUGUCAGGGAAGAAACGGUGAAAGCUAAUAUCUUUUGCUAAUGACGGUACCCGAAGAAUAAGCACCGGCUAACUACGUGCCAGCAGCCGCGGUAAUACGUAGGGUGCAAGCGUUAAUCGGAAUUACUGGGCGUAAAGCGUGCGCAGGCGGUUUUGUAAGUCUGAUGUGAAAUCCCCGGGCUCAACCUGGGAAUUGCAUUGGAGACUGCAAGGCUAGAAUCUGGCAGAGGGGGGUAGAAUUCCACGUGUAGCAGUGAAAUGCGUAGAUAUGUGGAGGAACACCGAUGGCGAAGGCAGCCCCCUGGGUCAAGAUUGACGCUCAUGCACGAAAGCGUGGGGAGCAAACAGGAUUAGAAACCCGAGUAGUCCC
rnacentral:rRNA from 1 species